GACGGAGGGUGCAAGCGUUGUUCGGAUUGACUGGGCGUAAAGGGCGUGUAGGCGGUUGGUCAAGUCUGGUGUGAAAGCCCGGGGCUUAACCCCGGAAGUGCGCUGGAAACUAGCCAGCUAGAGCGCGAGAGAGGAGGGUGGAAUUCCGUGGUGUAGCGGUGAAAUGCGUAGAUAGUCAGGAGGAACACCGGCGGCGAAGGCGGCCCUCUGGCUCGUUGCUGACGCUGAAACGCGAAAGCGUGGGGAGCAAACAGG
rnacentral:rRNA from 1 species